GGUGCGUGUGUAUAUAUAGAGGCCAGGGUGCGGUUCCUUCCAGUUUUUGUUUUUUCUCAGUUCGGUUCAACGAGAAGCAGGAUGAAACUGGUGGCGACCCUCCUCGCAACGCUGGCAAUUGUGUUCGGCUUAUUGCACUGUGUUAUGGCACUCCCUCAACCCCAUCCCGCGGCUCGCCCUGAACCUCGACGCCCCAGAAAACCCUCAUUUGACCCCAAGCUCAGCUAUGGUUAUCGUUCAAGGGCGUAUUAUGGUGAUUACCUCCCGACGUACCGAUGGUGAUGUCCCGGCGCUGGCGGUGAGGUUCCCCAAGGCGACGUAUGAGUGGCUACGGUGUUUUGUUUGUAGAGGAUCUGAGUGCUGAGGCUACGCUUUUGUUUUCUAAUUUCGAGGUUCCUUAAUGGCUUUUGUUAUCUUUUGGAAAUAAAUGUCAGUUGUUUUUU
rnacentral:lncRNA from 1 species